rnacentral:rRNA from 1 species
UACGGAGGGUGCAAGCGUUGCUCGGAAUUAUUGGGCGUAAAGGGUAGGUAGGCGGUCUCAUUUGUCUGGGGUGAAAGCCUUGAGCUUAACUCAAGAAGUGCCCCAGAAACGGUGAGACUAGAGUCUUGGAGAGGGUCGUGGAAUUCCCGGUGUAGCGGUGAAAUGCGUAGAGAUCGGGAGGAACACCAGAGGCGAAGGCGGCGACCUGGACAAGUACUGACACUCAACUACGAAAGCGUGGGGAGCAAACAGG